CUGCCCGAGUAGCGGGGGACAAACCUGGGGAAACUCAGGCUAAUACCGCACUACGGACCCUACGGGGGAAAGGCGGGGACCUUCGGGCCUCGCACUAUUGGAUGAGCCUAUGUCAGAUUAGCUUGUUGGUGGGGUAAAAGCCUACCAAGGCGACGAUCUGUAGCUGGUCUGAGAGGACGAUCAGCCACACUGGGACUGAGACACGGCCCAG
rnacentral:rRNA from 1 species